rnacentral:piRNA from 1 species
UGGAAUCCUUCUCUCUCCAACUCAGGGU